AAGCUAGUAUCUGAGGUGGGAUCUAAACCCAGGUCUCCCUGAUUUCAAGCCCAGCCCUCUAUCUAUUGUGCUAAUAUGUAGAGUCAAAGGACUGGGAUUUAAAUUCCACUUCUACCUGUGUGGCCUUGAGAAAGUCACUUAACUUCCCUAGACCUCCAUUUCUUCAUCUGCAAAAUUAGGGGCUUGGAAUCAAUGACCCUUGAUGGUCAUUGAGGUCCCAUCCAGCUCUAAAUCUAUAAAGCCUAGGACAACCUAUAUUCAAAUUCCCUUCCUGAUACUUAUUACUCUGUAACCCUGGGUCAUUUAAUCUCUCUGGGUCUGAAUUUCUGCAUCUUUAAAAUUAAGCAUUUGGAUGACUUUUGAGAUUAUUUCCAGCUUUAUCUAGAUCAGUGAUCUUUGUAAAAAGUGCCCUUUGGCACUUCUUGGGCCUACCAACAUGGUGAUUAUUUAAUAGCUUAAAAAGAAUUUAUUCAUUACAGUCAAUGCUUUGAGAUUUAUAGUUCUAAACUUCAUGGCCUACUAUUCCCUGGGAUAUCUUUCAUUCUGAAAAUUUCAAAGUCCUUCAUUUGCUCUUUUUGUUCAACCCCUGUGAAGCAGGUGAAGAGGAUGAGUCCUACCUUUUCAUAAUUGAAAACUAGAGUUAAAAAUUCAGCCAAGAACCUGAAAACAGAUGUAAGGAAGUGACCCUUGACGGAAGGGAAUUGUAAACACAUCUGAGAAAAGCAAGGUGAAGGUUGGGCAAUUAGCCAACUUUCCCAGAAAGCUACAGUGGUCAAAAUAACCCAGGAGUGAAAGACAAAUGGACUGGAUUUCUGCAGGACAGUUUCUGGCACGUAGUAGGCAUCUUUGGUUCCCACCUGGCUAUACUCCUUUGAAUUUCUCUAUCAUUCCCUGGCACCAGGUAACCAACUUGAAAGAACACAACAAAACAAAACAGUUCCUGCAGAAAAAAAGGUCGCUUCUGCCAAACUCCUUGGGAUGCCAGAG